CUGGGUGUUAAAUUAUUUACAUUUCAAAACCCAUAAGCAGAAACAAUGACUGCAUUUCCAGAGCCUGCUCCUGCUGUCAAAUAUCCUUUUCUCUCCUGCAACCUAAUUUAGACUUCCUUUUUAGAGUCACAGUUUAGCUCCAUUCCCAAUUAUAUUAAAGGAACAAGAUUUCAGGUCAUUAUCUCAUCAUUUCCAUGAAUAGUGACAAAAGAUGUUCCCUGCAAAGGCAAAGAUAGCCGUCACAGUACCCGCUUACACAGUCGCCUGAGGACGGUGUUGCUCUGGCGCAGGGAAGCCGAACUGUCACAAAACCUGCAAGCGAGAGGUUGCAGCGGGACCGAUGCCCCGGGCCCAGCCGGGUGCCGGGGGACGCGGCUCCCCGAGCCUUGGGCCAUGGGGAAGGUGGUGGCUGGCAUGCAGUUUAAUAGCGAUUCCAGCCCUGCCUGCUUCAGGGCAACGCCUUAAAUAGCAUAAUGUAGAAAGUGCAAAUUUUUUCCUGCGGGAGUUAUUGAAGGUGGGGGCUUCUUGGCCAGGCCAGGAAGAAAAGGGACAAUUGGUGACCUUUUUGGCAGCCCACAGAAAUCAGCACGCGCCACGCCACAGCUUCCUUUCGGGUCCGGUUUCCAGUGGGCCACAGGUUUUGCCUGCCCCAAAGCCAGCUGAAGUCGGUGGAAACGCUCCCAGUGGCUUCAGCAGGCUCGAGCUCCGACUGCGGCUGCAGCUUUUUCAUCCAAGCUAUUAUGGAGGAUGAGAUGCGAAUAGGCAUUAACAGCUUUAUUGCUCCAUAAUACUAAAUGCACAGCUCUCUGUACAGAGUUUCCCCCUUGCUGUGGCCCUGGGCACCCCUCCGCUGCUGCCACCACCCUGGGGACAGCUGUGGCCAAGGACCUGAAGGAAGAGAGACCAUUUCUGACCUGGAGCUGGCCAGCUCUUAUGGGACAGUUACAGGUUCGGGGGAGGCCAUCGCCGAGGACUAGAUACCCCUUGGAAAGUGCCCAGAGCUCCCCUGAACCCAGGGCUGUGUCCCAAAAUCUCAUUUCUUUUCCCUCUAGCCCAACUCAGUGAGAUAUUCUAUUUUUCCACAAGCAUUUCCUGCUAAUCAGACCAUUAGUACUUGUGCUGAUUAACCAGCUAGUUCUCAAUUUAAUUAAAACAUAGGUUUUUUUGAAGAGCCAGAAGUUUCAAUCAUAUUUUAUUCUGA
rnacentral:lncRNA from 1 species